UACGGGGGGAGCAAGCGUUGUUCGGAUUUACUGGGCGUAAAGGGCGCGUAGGCGGUCAGCACAAGUCAGUUGUGAAAUCUCCGGGCUUAACUCGGAAAGGUCAACUGAUACUGUGCGACUAGAGUGCGGAAGGGGCAACUGGAAUCUCGGUGUAGCGGUGAAAUGCGUAGAUAUCAGGAGGAACACCGGUGGCGAAGGCGGCUUCCUGGACCGACACUGACGUGAGGCGCGAAAGCCUAGGGGAGCAAACGGG
rnacentral:rRNA from 1 species